GCGGCAGAUCGCUCAGUUGGUGAAGAGCAACGUCGGACUGGAAAUCGCGUUCGCCGACAUCGGCGGGUGGGACACCCAUGUGAACCAGGGUGGCGUGCAGGGGCAGCUCGCGAAUCGGCUUGCCGAUUUUGCGCA
rnacentral:tRNA from 1 species